CCGGGGUGAGUAUUACAUCAGGUACUGGUGUGAUUUAAAACCCGGACAUCCGGUAGACUAUCAGUACUUGUGUUAUACUCUCCCCGU
rnacentral:pre_miRNA from 1 species